rnacentral:rRNA from 1 species
GACGAACGCUGGCGGCGUGCCUAAUACAUGCAAGUAGAACGCUGAAGGAGGAGCUUGCUUCUCCGGAUGAGUUGCGAACGGGUGAGUAACGCGUAGGUAACCUGCCUGGUAGCGGGGGAUAACUAUUGGAAACGAUAGCUAAUACCGCAUAACAGUAGAUAUUGCAUGAUAUCUGCUUGAAAGGUGCAAAUGCAUCACUACCAGAUGGACCUGCGUUGUAUUAGCUAGUUGGUGGGGUAACGGCUCACCAAGGCGACGAUACAUAGCCGACCUGAGAGGGUGAUCGGCCACACUGGGACUGAGACACGGCCCAGACUCCUACGGGAGGCAGCAGUAGGGAAUCUUCGGCAAUGGACGGAAGUCUGACCGAGCAACGCCGCGUGAGUGAAGAAGGUUUUCGGAUCGUAAAGCUCUGUUGUAAGAGAAGAAUGAGUGUGAGAGUGGAAAGUUCACACUGUGACG